CCAUAUGUUCAUGGGUGUAGGGCCAUCCUCUGCAGCAACCUAUCAGUGGCCAUACACCCCAAAAGAGUGAUUCUCCCUGGACUGCCCAGAGCUCCUCAGUUAGGGCUGGAGAAUCCAGCUACAGUUCUAGCUGACUUGAUCUUGUGCAGGUCACCAUAGCAACUGCGAUUCAGGAGUGCAGUCGCCGUGUCAUGAUGGCAGCCUUCCACAGCAGCCCUCUCUAGUCUCCAGCUCUCACAGUUUCUCCACCUCUUCUUCAGUGUCCCAUGAGCUUUGGCACAGAGGUUGGUGAGGUGUCCCAUUUAGGCUGACCGCUCACAGUCACUUAGUCUCAGCCCGAUGACCAGUUCUGCAUCUCAGCACUGGCUGCUGCCUUCUACAAAAAGAAGCUUCUGUGAUGAAGGCUGAGAGCAGCCCGGGUCUAUAGGUAUAAACAUGGAUAUUCAGAAAGCAGUUGACAACAGGGCCAUUUAACACCACAGCAAGAGUAAAUCUACCUCGGGUUGAGACUGCGCUUUCCUCUCACUGUGCAAAAUAUGAAAAUAAAGAAAACUUUAAGGAAAUUUGAGAAAAGCUGGAAACAUUUUGCCAAAGAAGCAAUGGAAGAAAAUUUAAGAAAUGACAUUUGAAAAGACCUCAGUCAAACCCCAGAAAUAAUAUUUGAUCAACCAAGAGAAAAACACACAGAAUUCUGCUGUUUCUGCCCCCUGAUGUGUUUGUGUGGGAGAACGGCUGCGUGGUUGUGGAUGCAUUUGAGGAUGGACUCUGAGUAGAUGGCCGACAAACCCUGCAGAGGUUCCAAGGGAGCAACUCACAGGAACUAAGACGGUCCCUACCUCACUCUCAAUCGCCUUCCUCCUACCUCCCCUAACGGACAUCUGACUGCUUCUCCUACACAUCUGUCAGUCGCCUCCCUUUGUUGACACAG